ensembl:miRNA
UACCAACCCCAUGUAAUUUUUACUUACCUUCAGUCAACUGAUUUGCUCUUUGGUGGAGAUAUUCAGAGGCUAGGUGGAGAUAGAGGGAGUCUUGAGGGUGGGUGUGG